rnacentral:rRNA from 1 species
GAUGAACGCUGGCGGCGUGCCUAAUACAUGCAAGUCGAGCGAAUGGAUUAAGAGCUUGCUCUUAUGAAGUUAGCGGCGGACGGGUGAGUAACACGUGGGUAACCUGCCUAUAAGACUGGGAUAACUCCGGGAAACCGGGGCUAAUACCGGAUAACAUUUUGAACCGCAUGGUUCGAAAUUGAAAGGCGGCUUCGGCUGUCACUUAUGGAUGGACCCGCGUCGCAUUAGCUAGUUGGGGAGGUAACGGCUCACCAAGGCAACGAUGCGUAGCCGACCUGAGAGGGUGAUCGGCCACACUGGGACUGAGACACGGCCCAGACGCCUACGGGAGGCAGCAGUAGGGAAUCUUCCGCAAUGGACGAAAGUCUGACGGAGCAACGCCGCGUGAGUGAUGAAGGCUUUCGGGUCGUAAAACUCUGUUGUUAGGGAAGAACAAGUGCUAGUUGAAUAAGCUGGCACCUUGACGGUACCUAACCAGAAAGCCACGGCUAACUACGUGCCAGCCGCCGCAGUAA